AAAUAUAUAUAUACAUAUAUAUAUAAAGAAAUCCUUUACACAGUUAUCUCCAAUCUUUACUUGGAAAAAGAUAGAAGUGUUUGAUGUGUAUGGCUUUUUCCAAUUCCAUUUAGUUGUUAGUUAGAGAUGUUUGCUGGGUAAACUUUUAGCAUUCCAAUUGUUGUUUCUAGAGAGAGAAAGAGAGACAGAUGUAAAGUUGUAUUCUUUUUGUUUUUCAUUUUGUCUAUA
rnacentral:misc_RNA from 1 species